GACGCUUCUUCAACAACAGCUAGUCAAGCCUCCUCGGUAACUUGCUAGCCAACAUAGCCUAAACAUUACAGCUCUUUAGACACUUUCUGUGUAUAUUAGCCUCUGUGUUUCAAGCAAACAUGUUGUAUAGCUAGUUGCCGCAUUUAAUUUAAUUGUACGUUGCUAGUCAGCUAGCUGGCUUGCUAAAUUAGCGCAGCACUAUUGCUAACUAGCUAGCUAAUAUCCGACCAUGAACUCACUAAACUACUCCUCCCCUGCUAAACAAAAGGUGGUCGGAUGGACGGAGAAAGAAGCUCUCGUGAAAGAGGAGAAGGAAGAGGAGGCUGUUACAGUGAAACAAGUAGAGGAUGAGACUGUUACAUUGAAAGAAGUUACAGUGAAAAAAGAGGAAGAAGCUUUCAGAGUGAAAGAAGAGGAUGUUACUGAAGAAGAAAAGGAAGAGGACAUGUUUGGAUUGAAGGAGGAGGGGGAGAUUACUGUCACAUUGGAGGAGGAGACAGGAGAUCUGAUUAACACCAAAGAGAGACCAGGCUCAGAGGAACCGGAGACGUCUGAACCAGCGAGACUACACCACUGUUCCCAGUGUGGAAAGAGUUAUACCCGAGUAUGGAAUCUGAGAAAGCAUGAGAUGACACACACGGGGGAGAAGCUUUUCCAAUGCUCCUAGUGUGAAAAUAGAUUUUCCCUAUCAAGGAACCUGAAAUCACAUGAGAGAACGCACACAGGGGAAAAGCCUUAUCACUGCUCUCAGUGUGGAAAGAGUUUUACACGGUUAGGGAGCCUAAAAAUACAUGAGAGAAUACACACAGGAGACAAGCCUUACCAAUGCUUCCAGUGUGGAAAGAGAUUUAUCCAGUCAACACACCUGAACGAGCAUAAGAGAACACACACAGGAGAAAAGCCAUUCCAAUGUUCUCAGUGUGGAAAGACAUUUUCACGAUCAGGGGACCUUAAAUCUCAUGAGAGAACACACACAGGGGAAAAGCCUUAUCACUGCUCCCAUUGUAAAAGUAGUUUUAGCUGGUUAGGGCAACUGAACGAGCAUGAGAGAACACACACAGGAGUGAAGCCUUACCACUGUUCCCAGUGUGAAAAGAGUUUUACACGGUUGGGGUCCCUUAAAUCACAUAUGAUAUACACACACACAGGAGAUAAGCCCUAUCAUUGCUCCCAGUGUAAAAAUACGUAUUCAUCAUUAGGGGACAUGAAAAAGCAUGAGAGAAUACACUCUGUAGAGAGGCCUUUCCACUGCUCUCAGUGUGGAAAGGCAUUCAUCCAGUCAUGGCAUCUGGAAGCACAUAAAAUAAUACACGCAAGAGAGAAGCCAUUCCAAUGCUUGCAGUGUGGAAAGAGUUAUACCCGGUUAGGGAAUUUGAAAACGCAUGAGAUGACACACACAGGAGAGAAGCCUUUCCAAUGCCGUCAGUGUGGAAGUCGUUUUACCAGAUUAGGGAACCUGAAAACACAUGAGGUGACACAUAAAGGACGGUAGCCUGACCUCUGCUCCCAGUGUGAAAAGGGUUUUGUUCAGUUAAGGGUCUUGGAAGAGCAUGACAAAAUACAUACACAGGAGAAGACAUACCACUGAAAUCACGAGAGAAAAUUGCGAAAUGUAGAUUUCUGCCUAAAUAGAAGUAACUGCUAUUCAUGUGUAAUUACAUGAUUCUGACAUGCCAAAACUUGGUAUAUUUGGAAAGAAGACAUCUGGGUGAUUAUGAAGAAAUUAUUAGAAGAUAGAUAGGAGUUACAUAGUUCAGAAUGCAAAAGAUCAAGCACACACAAAAUGUUUUUUUUUGUUUUUGUUUUGGCCCCUGUACAAAAGGUAAGAUCCAUGGCCAUCUUGCGAAAGGAUGACACGCAAAUCCGUGAAGCGCUCCUCAUUUUCCUCACACGUCGAGAAACUGGAACCAAACAGAGAAGAUUGACCGGAGGAAUAAAUUGGGAUGACACGCAAAUCCGUGAAGCGCUCCUCAUUUUCCUCACACGUCGAGAAACUGGAACCAAACAGAGAAGAUUGACCGGAGGAAUAAAUUGCCCAUCCCAUUCUUCUCAGUCUAAGGAGGAGGGGAAUUGCUGGCUGAGAGAAGCUCGGUCUACAGUAGAAUGAAGCGUUCCUUAUUUUGAAUUGGGGAGUGAGACAAGGUUGCAGUCUGAGACCAACUUUAUUCAACAUUUUGAAAAUGAAUUGGGGAGUUAGGCACGGUUGCAGGCUGAGUUCAACUUUAUUCAAAGUUUAGAAAUGAAUUGGCGAGUGAGACAAGGUUGCACUCUGAGUCCAACUUUAUUCAAUGUAUACAAAUGAAUUGGAGAGAGAGACAGGGUUUAAAACUUCUUCAGGCUGCAGGGUGAAUAUUGAAAAAACUGGAAAAUAUGUGCACAUUUUCAAACGGCCUCUUAAGAAAUUUUUGAUUUUACAAUAUGCAUAUAUUUACUACUGUUGGAUAGAUAACAGUCUAUAGUUUCUAAAAACGUUUGAAUUAUUUCUCUAAGUGGAACAGUUCUAUUUUUACAGCCAUUUUCCCAGCCGAAUUGAGAUUUCCAAAAUGCGAUGUGUCUCUUUAAGACCUUGUCUAUACAAGGUCAUGACACUUAGGACCGUAGAAACACGUCAUACGCCUUCAUCUGGGUGUAAUGCGGAAGUGAGAGUUGAAAGCAGUCGAAUAUCUCUUCCAUGGACUGAAUACCACAUCUUCUUGUGAGACCUGCGCAGUUAAAAAAAAUUCCGGGCGCGAGGCAGAAUCUGGACUCGGCUCAUGCAAGACGCUCGUUUAAGGUGAAUAUGACCUCUAGAUACGAUAUUAUUUGAUACAUGUCACAAAAUCAUCCUAAAGUAUGUUUUUUCAAUAUACUUUAAUUAUAUUAUUGCAAUUUAUUCUGGACUUUAGACGUGAUGCUUUGGAAGAAUUUUUUGAAGACAGAAAGAUUAGCGCCGCACGACCGUUGUGCUUGCUAACCAAAGAGGGAAAUAUUUCGUUCUGGAACCCAACUAAAGACUGUACUGGACAUUGGACCCCGUUACAACAUUCUGAUGGAAUAUCAACAAAGAUAAGGACCCAAUUUGGGAUGCUUUUUCAUAUAUCUGUCGAACUGUGCUAUGCUAACUGUGCUAUGCUAGCGCUUGACUAGAAUCAAUGCUGCCGUAUGCUAGCUUAUGUUGUUAGCUAAUAUAACGAUAUAUUGUGUUUUCGCUGUAAAACACUUCAAAAAUCGGAAAUAUUGGCUCUAUUCACACGAUAUUUGUCUUUCAUUAGCUAUCCACCAUAUGUUUUUCUGAAAUGUUUUAUGAGGUGUAAUUAGUAGUUGACGUUGGUGUCUGUAUUUUCUCUGGCUACUCCCGUCUGAUUUCAGACUGUAGCUAUGCUGUAGCAAUGAUGGGAGCAGUACUGUAAAACUGAUUUAUAGCUAAAAUAUGCACAUUUUAUGAACAAAACAUAGAUUUAUUGUGUAACAUGUUAUAGGACUGUCAUCUGAGGUAGUUUUUUUUAGGUUCUUUAGGUUGGUUUUAGGUUAUUUCGGUUGGCUUGUGCAUGCUACUUGAAUCAUAAUUCAUACAUCAUAAUCAUAAUCAUACGUGUCUGUCCACUUUUGUAUUUGGUGGUGAGCUAACAUAAAUAUAUGUGGUGUUUUCUCUGUAAAACAUUUAAAAAAUCGGACAUGUUGGCUGGAUUCACAAGAUGUUUAUCUUUCAAAUGCUGUAUUGGACUUGUUAAUGUGUGAAAGUUAAAUAUUUUUAAAAAAUAGAUUUUGAAUUUCGCGCCCUGCAGCUGUUGUCAUUUUCGUUCCGACGUCGGGCUUGCAGCCCAAACAGGUUAAAUUUUAGUCCAGCUGUAUUAAACAUAACAAACUUGAAUGUCACAACAUUUAAACAGACAUCAAAGUCAGACUCAGACUCUCUCUCUCUCCCUCUACUAAUUGGGGAGUUAGUUAUACGUAUCUUUGGCCAGGCCAUGUUGCAGAAAACGGGGGAAGGGUGGGAAGUGGUCGGGGCAGGGGAACAAAGACUUGGGGAGGAGCAACUAAAAGCAGCAGGUGAGGGGUUAGAGACCAAGAGCCCUGUGAAUCAUAAAAGGCUUCGUUUUUAACCUGUUAAAGCUGGGGGCGCUGUUGUCACUAUUUAUGGUAAUCGUGUAAUUUUUGAAACGGCUUCCUACAAAAUUCUUGAUCGUACAAUAUGCAUAUUAUUAUUAUUGGAUAGAAAACAGUCUAUAGUUUCUAUAGGAGUUGAAAUUUUGUCUCUAAGUGGAACAGAACCCAUUCUACAGCAAUUUCCCUGACAUGGAGUCAGAUUUCAGAAAUGUUGGCCACUGUUCUGGAGUCCGUUUUAAAGCCAAUGUUAUUCCUAUGAGUAUACGGACACUGCUUACGUCUUCCCCUGGAUGCCUUUACGUGAUGACGAUUUGAAUGGGGUCGAUUGCGCAAUCACAGGCACUAUAAAUUAAAAAACCCUGUAGCUAGUAACUCUUUUGCAGCUGCGUCAUGCGCGUGGAGGACACCGACCCGCACCUGUUCCAAGCAUUAGUGUUGGGAGUAAUCUUUCUCCGGUCAUGUUAAGACUCGUUAUAGGAGUUAAAAACAUCAUAAGGUAGUUAAUUUAAAGCGUUUUAUAGCAAUUUAUAUCCGUUUAGUGCGAUUUUGGGACAUUUAUUUCUGAGACGCUGUGAAUCUCUGGGCACGCUUCCAGUUCAUCCCGAACGCAGUUGGCAUUUCCACAUGGCAAGAGGACAGCUUUCCACCAAAAGACGAUUAGACCCAAGAAAGGAUCCUUUGCCCAAGAUACUGAUGGAAGAACAGCUCAAAGUAGGACAUUUUUAUUAUGAUAAAUCGUGUUUCUGUCGAAAAAUGUUAGUGGCUUAGGACGCCAUGUUUUUUGACGUAGCUUCGCUUGGCGCAAACUGUAUUGAAAAGUAAGGAUAAUUUAAAAAAUGUAAUUCCGCGAUUGUAUUAAGAAUUAAAUUGUCUAUCAAUCGCUGUCCACCCUAUAUUUUUUAGUCACGUUUAUGAGUAUUUAUGUAUACGAGUAGAUCACUGUCUAAUAUGGCGCACGGACAUUUUCUCACCAGCUGGGCUACAUUUCUCAUUGUCUAACCAUGAUUUUGGUGGCUAAAUAUGCACAUUUUCGAACAAACUGUAUAUGUAUGUUGUAAUGUGAUGUUACAGGGGUGUCAUCUGAAGAAUUCUGAGAAGGUUAGUGAAAAAAAUAAUAUAUUUUGGCGAUGUUUACGUUAUCGCUCUCUUUGGCUAGAAUCAAUGCUGGGGUAAUGUUUGCACAUGUGCUAUGCUAAUAUAACGAUUUAUUGUGUUUUCGCUGUAAGACACUUAGAAAAUCUGAAAUAUUGUCUGUAUUCACAGGAUCUGUGUCUUUCGAUUAGUGUAUGCUGUGUAUUUUUACGAAAUGUUUGAUGAUUAGUAGUUAGGUAAACACGUUGCUCAUUGUAAUUAUUCUAGUCAAUUUGUGACGGUGGGUGCAAUUGUAAACUAUGCCAGCUACCUGAAAUAUGCACAUUUUUCUAACAAAACCUAUCCCAUACCAUAAAUAUGUUAUCAGACUGUCAUCUGAUGAGUUUUUUUCUUGGUUAGGGGCUAUAAAUAUCUUAGUUUAGCCGAAUUGGUGAUAGCUACUGGUGUUGGUGGACAAAUAAAAGAUGGUGGAUUAUGCUAAUGUGUUUUUAGGUAAUAGAUUUACAUCUUUACAUAUUGUGUCUUCCCUGUAAAACAUUUUAAAAAUCGGACAUGUUGGCUGGAUUCACAAGAUCUGUGGCUUUCAUUAGCUGUAUUGGACUUUAAUGUGUGAAAGUUAAAUAUUUAAAAAAAAUAUUUUUUUUGAAUUUCGCGCUCUGCCUUUUCAGUGGAAUGUGGGGGGGGUGUGCCGCUAGCGGCACCCUCAUCCUAGACAGGUUAAACUACAUUUUAGUCUGAGAUCAUUCUUUAAAAAAUCAAAAGUCAAUUCUAUUUCAAGUUCUACAUCGACAAAUAAAGUUUAAACAUCA